rnacentral:rRNA from 1 species
CCUACGGGGGGCAGCAGUGAGGAAUAUUGGUCAAUGGACGAGAGUCUGAACCAGCCAAGUAGCGUGAAGGAUGACUGCCCUAUGGGUUGUAAACUUCUUUUAUAUGGGAGUAAAAUGUUCCACGUGUGGGAUUUUGUCUGGACCAUAUGAAUAAGGAUCGGCUAACUCUGUGCCAGCAGCCGCGGUAAUACGGAGGAUCCGAGCGUUAUCCGGAUUGAUUGGGUUUAAAGGGAGCGUAGGUGGAUUGUUAAGUCAGUUGUGAAAGUUUGCGGCUCAACCGUAAAAUUGCAGUUGAAACUGGCAGUCUUGAGUACAGUAGAGGUGGGCGGAAUUCGUGGUGUAGCGGUGAAAUGCUUAGAUAUCACGAAGAACUCUGAUUGCGAAGGCAGCUCACUGGACUGCAACUGACACUGAGGCUCGAAAGUGUGGGUAUCAAACAGGAUUAGAUACCCGGGUAGUC